rnacentral:rRNA from 1 species
AUAUUAAUAAGUGGUGGAAAAGAAACUAACCAGGAUUCCCUUAGUAAUGGCGAAUGAACAGGGAUAAGCUCAAGAUGAAAAUCAGAGGUUCUUGCCUUUGAAUUGUAGUCUCAAGAGGUGUUACCAGUGAAGGCGCAGGGAUAAGUCUCUUGGAAAAGAGCAUCGGAGAGGGUGAAAAUCCCGUCUACGCUCUGUAGACCUUCGCGUACGGCACACCUUCAAAGAGUCGCGUUCCUUGGGAGUGGAGCGUUAAUUGGGAGGUAAAUUUCUUCUAAAGCUAAAUACUUGUGGGAGACCGAUAGCGCACAAGUA